UUGUCCCUAUUUUUUCUUUUUGAACUCGUUUCUUAAGUUUUCUUGCUUGACUUGGUGUCAAAUUCUUUAUGCCUGAUCUGUAUGUAUGACUUAUCUUUAACAUCUUUUUAAUGAUUAAAUAUCAGGUCGGCAUUUCUUCUGGCGCGGCAGCUGCUGCUGCAAUUAAGGUUGGAAAGAGACCUGAAAAUGCUGGGAAGCUCAUUGCAGUUGUGUUUCCGAGCUUUGGAGAACGAUAUCUCUCGACUGUUCUUUUCCAAUCGAUCCAAGAAGAAUGUGAGAAAAUGCAGCCUCAACCCUGAAGCAUGAAAUUUUUCUCCAUUCAAGUUCAUUAAUACAGUACUGCAUUAGUUUUUCGCAUACGUAUUAUAUACAUUUUUCGCAUACAGGUUGUAUACCAUUUUAAGAAUAAUAGUAAUAAUAAUGGUGAUCGUGAUAAUAGUC